AGAAUCAACGCUGGCGGCGUGCCUAACACAUGCAAGUCGAACGAGAAAGUGGAGCAAUCCAUUAGUAAAGUGGCGCACGGGUGAGUAACACGUGACUAACCUACCCUUGAGUGGGGGGAUAACCUAGAGAAAUCUGGGCUAAUACCGCAUAAUACCUUCGGGUCAAAGGAGCAAUUCGCUUAAGGAGGGGGUCGCGGCCGAUUAGUUAGUUGGCGGGGGUAAUGGCCCACCAAGACUAUGAUCGGUAUCCGGCCUGAGAGGGCGCACGGACACACUGGAACUGAAACACGGUCCAGACUCCUACGGGAGGCAGCAGUGGGGAAUUUGCGCAAUGGGGGAAACCCUGACGCAGCAACGCCGCGUGGAGGAUGAAGCCCCUUGGGGCGUAAACUCCUUUCGAUCGGGACGAUAAUGACGGUACCGAGAGAAGAACGCCCGGCUAACUUCGCGCAGCAGCCGC
rnacentral:rRNA from 1 species